UAUCAGUUACGUCCACAUAUUGGCAGAGAAGGAUCGACAACCGAAACCAAAAAUUAUCAGUUACGUCCACAUAACGGCGCAGAAGAUUCGACAACUGAAAACAAAAAUUAUAAGUUGCACUCAAUUGAUGGUGGGGAACAUUCCACAACUGCACCAAAUAGUUAUCAGUUACGUCCACAUAACGGCGCAGAAGAUUCGACAACUGAAAA